GAUGAACGCUGGCGGCGUGCCUAAUACAUGCAAGUCGAGCGAACGGACGAGAAGCUUGCUUCUCUGAUGUUAGCGGCGGACGGGUGAGUAACACGUGGAUAACCUACCUAUAAGACUGGGAUAACUUCGGGAAACCGGAGCUAAUACCGGAUAAUAUUUUGAACCGCAUGGUUCAAAAGUGAAAGACGGUCUUGCUGUCACUUAUAGCUGGAUCCGCGCUGCAUUAGCUAGUUGGUAAGGUAACGGCUUACCAAGGCAACGAUGCAUAGCCGACCUGAGAGGGUGAUCGGCCCCACUGGAACUGAGACACGGUCCAGACUCCUACGGGAGGCAGCAGUAGGGAAUCUUCCGCAAUGGGCGAAAGCCUGACGGAGCAACGCCGCGUGAGUGAUGAAGGUCUUCGGAUCGUAAAACUCUGUUAUUAGGGAAGAACAUAUGUGUAAGUAACUGUGCACAUCUUGACGGUACCUAAUCAGAAAGCCACGGCUAACUACGUG
rnacentral:rRNA from 1 species